rnacentral:rRNA from 1 species
AUAUUGGACAAUGGGGGUAACCGUGAUCCAGCCAUGCCGUGGGUGUGAAGAAGGUCUUCGGAUUGUAAUGCACUUUAAGUUGGGAGGAAGGGCUUUAGGUUAAUACCCUGAAGUUUUGACGUUAGCACCAGAAUAAGCACCGGCUACCUCUGUGCCAGCAGCCGCGGUAAUACAGAGGGUGCAAGCGUUAAUCGGAAUUACUGGGCGUAAAGCGCGCGUAGGUGGUUCAGUAAGAUGGGUGUGAAAUCCCCGGGCUUAACCUGGGAACUGCUUUCAUAACUGCUGAGCUAGAGUACGGUAGAGGGUAGUGGAAUUUCCUGUGUAGCGGUGAAAUGCGUAGAUAUAGGAAGGAACACCAGUGGCGAAGGCGACUACCUGGACUGAUACUGACACUGAGGUGCGAAAGCGUGGGGAGCAAAC